rnacentral:rRNA from 1 species
UACGUAGGGCGCAAGCGUUGUCCGGAAUUAUUGGGCGUAAAGAGCUCGUAGGCGGUCUGUUGCGUCCGCUGUGAAAACUCGGGGCUUAACCCCGAGCCUGCAGUGGAUACGGGCAGACUAGAGGUAGGUAGGGGAGAAUGGAAUUCCCGGUGUAGCGGUGAAAUGCGCAGAUAUCGGGAGGAACACCGGUGGCGAAGGCGGCGACCUGGUCCGAUACUGACGCUGAGGUGCGAAAGCGUGGGGAGCAAACAGG